UGGCAGGUACAGCGGGAAGCCAUAUGGCGACAUAGAGCGGAACCCGAAAACCUGUCUCAGUUCGGAUUGGAGUCUGCAACCCGACUCCAUGAAGCUGGAUUCGCUAGUAAUCGCGCAUCAGCCACGGCGCGGUGAAUACGUUCCCGGGCCUUGUACACACCGCCCGUCAAGCCAUGGGAGCCGGGGGUACCUGAAGUGCGUGACCGCAAGGAGCGCCCUAAGGUAAAACCGGUGACUGGGGCUAAGUCGUAACAAGGUACC
rnacentral:rRNA from 1 species